rnacentral:lncRNA from 1 species
AUCCACUCAGCACCUGGUUAGGAAGCCGGGCCAAUUUUCCUCCCUUUUGAUUUCAUUCUGCUCCUGUCUGGCUGCCCAGACACAUGGAGAGUUUGUCAAGUGGAAUUUCUGUCUCUUGCGGCCGCCCUGCCCUCUGCAGAGUGCUGAACGGGCAAGCAGGAUCACCCGGCUCAGUGCCGCAGACAUCACUCUCUUGUGAUAAGGGCCAGCGCGCACCCUUGAACGAGGAGCCUGUCAUUCUUCACAGUCACCAGGCAGCUGGCGGGGUCUCUGUUUGUCACCCAGGCUGAGUGCAGUGGUGUUAUCAAACUCACUGCAGCCUCAAUGUCCCAGGCUCAAGCAAUCCUCCCACCUAAGCCUCCCAAGGAGCUGGGACUACAGGCAUGCAUCACCACACCCAGCUAAUUUUUUUGACUUUUUGUAGAGAUUAGGUCUUGCUAUGUUGCUCAGGCUGGUCUUGAACUCCUGGACUCAACAGAUCCUCCCGCCUCAGCCACCCAAAGUGCUGAAUUACAGGUGCAAUGGAAAUCUUUAAAGCAAAAUGCCAAGGAAAUACUGUUUGAGUAGGACUGUACCAUUUAUACUCAAUUUCCACAGCCAUCUUAGGGAACUCCCACCUCUCUGUGGGUAUGCCACCCACCCAGUCCCCCAGACAAGAUUCUGGGGACCUGCUGGACACUUCUUGUCUUUCAGGUGCUCUAAUUUUACCAGCCACCAUGCAGUCCUGCCUCUUGGGUGCCCUAAUUUUUCUGGGCAGUCCUGCCUGCUACCCACCCCUUGGUUCUGCCCACUUUCUUCCCACUCCACUGCUCCCAUCACACCACCAGCCACUGCCACCUCCUGCCUGCUGGGGACACUGACAUCACCUCUUGGCUGCUUCUCUCUACUCAGUUGCUCUUCCCUUUGACCACUUCUUCCCUGAAGGGGCCUUCCUACGGCAUAAUUGAAACAAUUCUCCUUCCUUGCUUACAGUUGCUCAGGGACUUAUGUGGUAUUCAAGUCCAAAUCCCUGAGCAUGUUUUUGAACUGGAAAACUGACAGGGGGCAGUGGUGGUAAUCAGAGAAGGCUUCCUGGAGGAAGUGACAACUAGGCUGAAGGAUAAGUGAGAGUUCAUGCCACAUGACGUGCAGGAAAGGCACUCUGGGACAGCAGCAGCAGAGGACCUUCCUGGAGAUGUCCCCCAUAGUCUCGGUCCCCCAUGCCUGUGGGAUUUCCAAGAGGAAGCAGAGCUGUGGGGCCAUGCUUCCCAUUGUGCAAUAUGGAUGUUCUGGGAAAUACCACAGGAGGGUGGAAGGGCAGGCGAUCGUCCACACAGGAAGGGGGCAUGCAGGGCUGGAUUUGCUGAGCCCAGAUAAGCGGCCCCAGAGGUGCUCCAGAGAGGAAGCCCCCGAGCUCGGGAGCCUCAUGCGUGCAGGCGAUAGCAUGGGUUUGGAAUGCACAGGUAUUGACCAAAGCCACCAUGCACAGACUGGACAGAAAAUGGCUGGUGGGGGCUGGCUCUUGGGGAGCAAGACAGCAUCAUGCAGAGGAGAGAAGGAACUCUGGUUCUCUUCCUCAGGGGGGCCCACAGAGAGCUCAGUGGACUCAUGGCCGAAAAGAAGGGGUCCACACUCUGUUUUUAACACCAUCUAUUUGUACUUGGGAGGCUCACCCUGCAGCCAUGAGGCAGGGCUGGGUGGGGCCAUGCCAUGCCCCUGGAGCUGGGACACCUAAGCUCAGCAUGUAUCUAGAAAACAAGACUGGUCCAGCGUAAUGGUGUGAGAUGAACCAAUUCCUCUACGUGGCAAUUUGUCACAAGCACAGCCCUCAACUCACGGGGUACCAGGGACCCAGGAAGAAGUGGACUUGGCACCAAUGAGGAUGCUUCUGCUGCAGCUCUCUAGGUGCCAGCUGCUACCGAUAUGUGAUGUUGGGCAGCUGCUUCUCCUUUUGGGGACCUCAGUCUCCCCAUCUGUGAUUUUUGAAUCUUAAUAAUAACCCUUCUGCCUCCUAAGACAGUUGGAGGAUCAAACAGG